AUUGAACGCUGGCGGCAGGCCUAACACAUGCAAGUCGAGCGGAGCGGCGGACGGGUGAGUAAUGCCUAGGAAUCUGCCUGGUAGUGGGGGAUAACGUCCGGAAACGGGCGCUAAUACCGCAUACUAUCAGAUGAGCCUAGGUCGGAUUAGCUAGCUGGUGGGGUAAAGGCCUACCAAGGCGACGAUCCGUAACUUGUCUGAGAGGAUGAUCAGUCACACGGGAACUGAGAAACGGGCCAGACUCCUAAGGGAGGCAGGAGGGGGGAAUAUGGGACAAUGGGCGAAAGGCUGAUCCAGCCAUGCCGGGUGUGUGAAGAAGGUGUUCGGAUUGUAAAGCACUUUAAGUAGGGAGGCGUUACCAACAGAAUAAGCACCGGCUAACGGCGUGGCAGCAGCCGCGGUAA
rnacentral:rRNA from 1 species